UUAUUUUCUCCAGCUUCAUAAUAAGAAAAGUUUACCUACACAUACAGUUCAAAAGGUGAAAAAUGGCAUUUAUUGCAAAAUCCAAUAAUGACAAAGAAUGGCUCAAAUGUUUAGCAUAAAUUACUCUUAUCAAUAGUAUUCUUUCAUCUUCAACACAUGAAGUACCUCCAAAUAUAGAACUGGAGCACAUAAAUAUUGCAAGAAUUAGGAAACUUGAAUUCAGGAUAGCAGCUCUCAUUUAUGCAGGAAAUCAGUACAGAAAAAUUUAAGGACAAAGGCUCUUUCUUGAUUUAUUUAACAGCACUGCACCUUAUUUUGAAAGCAAGUAAUCUAUGCUACUGUAAGGAUGAAACUUCAGAAGCAUUCAGACUGCAUAUAUGGUCAGUCAUUAAAAGCUUAAAUAUCCAAUCUUAUCAGCAGUCAGGGAAGGGCAAGAUCCUAUAAUUGCAUUGCACAUCUGCCGGGGGGGGUGGUGGAGGGAGGGAGAGGGGGGGGGGGGGGGGGGGGGGGGGGGGGGGAGAGAGAGAAUGUUAUAAAUAACAACUGAGAAUUUUAGCUUCUCCUCAAGGGAUAAUUUAGAAAGAUCAUUUAAUGAGAUUCAACCUAAAACGCAUAGGAAAGAAUAAUAAUUAUGCAAGAUUACAAAAAUUUACAUCAAUUUGAGAUGCUUUAUCUGCAGAAUGUGAAUAUGAACAAAGAAAAAAGUACACAAACCAUUAAAAUAUUGACAGUGAGCAUCAAAACAGAAAGUCAAACCCACAUCUCCAUGUAAUAAGAUGUAAUGGAGAUGACUAAAUAUCAAUUUAUUGAAAUUUGGACUCCGCUAGAUUUAAAUAUUUUCUCAAAGUUUCCUAGUGAGGAAUCAGUUAGCAGCAUACAUAUUAAGAUUCUAUAAUUUUCAUUGCAACUUUUGCACCUGUAUAUCGAUCAUAAAACUAAAUUUAUGGACGGUAUUCACCUAAUGUAAACACUCAAUAUAAUGGACAAACUUGAUUCAAGGAUAAAGAAGAACUUGCCUCGUAGCUUGACAAACCA
rnacentral:lncRNA from 1 species